UACGUAGGGUGCAAGCGUUGUCCGGAAUUAUUGGGCGUAAAGAGCUCGUAGGCGGUCUGUCACGUCGGCUGUGAAAUCCCGAGGCUCAACCUCGGGUCUGCAGUCGAUACGGGCAAACUAGAGUAUAGUAGGGGUAAAGGGAAUUUCCAGUGGAGCGGUGAAAUGCGUAGAGAUUGGAAAGAACACCGAUGGCGAAGGCACUUUACUGGGCUAUUACUAACACUCAGAGACGAAAGCUAGGGUAGCAAAUGGG
rnacentral:rRNA from 1 species